GAGUUCAGAAUCUGAACAAACAAGACUACAUUAUAUACCUAAACAAAGAAGAUAGUCACUUACAACCCUCCAUUUUAAAGACCAAGAAAAUCGACCUCAAAGAGGAAUCGGUGAAGUGAGCUCCCAGCUACCGCCUCGAGAGGCUGCUAUUGACAAUCUCCUGUCUGGCCAAACAACUUCCUUUCUACAGCUUUGCUUGGGGGAAUGGCAGUAGGAAAACACCACCAACAAAUUGGAAAUUGCCACAUCAUUCACGUCGGUUUUCCUCUACUAAAUCCAAUCCCUGCUUUCAAGAAGAAAGAAGUGGUAGUACAAUACAAUCUC
rnacentral:lncRNA from 1 species